UUGACCUCUUCACCCUCGGAAGGCAGAAGAGACUGGAAACAGUCUCAGACUCCGAUGGCUUAAGGAAGGAGUCAGGGGACUAGGAGGGGCCAAGGGGUCUCUGGGAAGCAGCGAUAUGCUAUCCCUGGAAGAGCAGAACCGUGACCACAGGACAACUGGAAAAGGGGCUGAGUGGCCGCAGGAGCACUGCUCAGCAUGGUCUGCAGCUAGAUGGAUGGACCUCCAGAGAGGCAGAGGCACUCCUGGGGCAGAGCCACGAGUUGGCCUUGGGGAGGCCUCCCAAGAGCUCAAGGUCACUGGCCUGGAGUCUGGCCAGAAGCUGGGGUCAAGGUAGGGGCUACGGGGCCACAGAGCAGGACCUGCUUGGAAACUGCAGCCUCUUGUUCGGAGAAAGACCAUCCGGAGUGAGCAUAAGGCCAGAGCCCCUCCACCAGGCCUCGCCUUUGAGCGGUGACCCCUUCAGAAGAUUCCAGCCAGGACCAGGGGAGGCAGGAGCAGCAGCCCCAGAACGGGGCCCCAGAUGUGACCAGGGCCCGACUUCAGCCCUGACUUGAGGCUAGGCUUUUCAGGGCCCUCUGCACCUGUGGGGAGGGAGAGGCUUUGUCUCAGCCUGGAGACCGCUAUGCCUGACCUCCCACCCUCUCAGCCAGGCGUGCAAGUGGGGGCCCCCCAGCCAAGGAGGAAGGUCCGCCUCAGAGGGUGCAUGCCCCGCUCUGCCCAUAACACCUAUGCUGGGAGCAGGGUGCUGACAUGCUGGAGACUGACGGGGACAGGCCUUACCUGGCAGAGAUGACUGCAGAGCCAGGAUACGCCCACCCACGGCAUUAGCAGUGGCAGAAGUACUGGGGGAGUUAGACAGGGACUUGGAGGAGGUGUGCCCCACAUGGUCCAGCGUGGCCGGCAGCUCACCUGUCUUGCCCUGGACUGGAAAAUCUGAGGCCAAGCCCUCACUGGAAGGAGACAACUCGGCCUCAACCUUGCCUGCCUUCUGGGAGUGGGGUGGUGGGUCCCGUGUCCCUGUCAAGAACAUCUUGGGGUGCGGAGAACUCUCUGGGGUCUUGGAGGGCAUUCUUGUCCUGCUGGCCUCUUUGUCUGCCAAUUUGGAGCUGGGAUCAUUGGUCGAUCUGGGGAAGGUAGCUGGCCCCUCAUCCAAGGAAAACAGGCUGUGAGUUGCCAAAAAGGAAGGGACCUCAGUAGUUAAGGAAGGUGGAGCCUCUGUUGCCAUGGAGGGGGAAUCUUCUGUUGCUAAGGGAGAUGGGGCCUUGGUUUCUACAGCAGGAAGAGCCUUGGUUGCCAGAGGGCCUGAGACCUCUGUUACCAAGGAGGAUGGAGGAGUUUCCGUUGCCCUGGAAGAGGAGAUACCGCUUUUCCUAGAGCCUGAAGCUUCCGUGGCCAGGGAAGAUGGGGCCUCAGUUACCAGAAAUGAAUCUCAAAUGGAAGAAUCUUAGAUAUCAUCAACAAGCAAAAUCCAAAGAACAGAAGAAGCCAUUUUGGAAGUAGAACUUCCCCCCCGAUAUCACAAAUUAGAAACAGCAACUUCAACGCUAUGAGAAAUGACAGAAGAAGGACAGUAAGCCAAAAGACAGAAGCCGGGGCAUGUACCGCGGAUGCAAAGGGCCCUGCCUAACAUAGGUCAGACAGGACCACUUAGACGUGCCUAGAAUAACUACCGUCUACGACCUCUAUGAAACUGGCUCUGCGACACCUAACUUAGGUCCCUUCAGUACGAGGACGAGAGGAGCCACAUAGAUUUUCAAACGACUAUGGUUUUUAGAGUCAACUGAAGAUGGUUUAGGAAGUUUGAGAAGCACACUCCGAGGAGGUGAGGAGACUGGUGGCCUCUUCCCCGCCACGCCCCACCCCACCGGCUGCGCAUGUGGCCCCGCCCCUUGCGCGUAGCUUCGCCCAGUGCUUUUGGGGCCCCACCCCGCCCACCGGCCCAGGGGCUUCGCACCUGCGUGUAGUGGCCGCACAUCUGGCCCUGGUCGCAGGUGGCUGCGCUAAGGUUGUAGUGCUCGCGCUCGUGGUGCCACUCCUCCAUGGCCAGCGGCACGUCCAGGCCCUCGUCCGUGAUGGCGAACAGGUUCUCCCCGCGCCGCCCGCGCUCCUUGUUGUGGCCCCACACGCACUUCUGCGCGUAGGCCUUGGCGAAGGCGGCCAGCUCCUC